rnacentral:rRNA from 1 species
UGGGGAAUAUUGCACAAUGGGCGCAAGCCUGAUGCAGCCAUGCCGCGUGUAUGAAGAAGGCCUUCGGGUUGUAAAGUACUUUCAGCGAGGAGGAAGGCGUUAAGGUUAAUAACCUUGGCGAUUGACGUUACUCGCAGAAGAAGCACCGGCUAACUCCGUGCCAGCAGCCGCGGUAAUACGGAGGGUGCAAGCGUUAAUCGGAAUUACUGGGCGUAAAGCGCACGCAGGCGGUCUGUCAAGUCGGAUGUGAAAUCCCCCGGGCUCAACCUGGGAACUGCAUCCGAAACUGGCAGGCUAGAGUCUUGUAGAGGGGU